AAAAAAAAACAACAACAACAACAGGCCGUAGUACUGUUUGGACAGUUAGGCAUUAGACUCAUUUUGCAACUGAGUUGCAAAAUUUGUACAAAUUUUGAUACACCAAAACAGGUACGACAAAAAUAUCAACGAUUGAAAGCUGAUUACCAAACCUUCAAGCGAUUGCAGGCAUAGACCGGUUUGGGAUGGGAUCCUAUUGUAGGAGCGGUUGUUGCACCCUAUGAAUUUUGGGAUAAGGCAACAAAAAAAAUGUUAAGAAAUUUAGGACAAAAGGAUUUGAGUAUUUUCAAGAAAUGGGCGAAAUUGUUGAAAACUGUUGUGCCACAGGGGCCUUGGCCCGUGCAUACACAAGAAGCCCCUGACUCUGAUGAAGAGGAUGAAAUGCUUAAUAAAUUUUAGUCUCCUGGAGCUGGUGGGAGUAAUGCGGCCGAACCUAUUACUGUUGACUUAUUCGGCGAUGAGUACAUAGAACCAUCGAAGGGAAAAAGUCACAAGAAGGGCCUUACAACUAGCUAGACUGAUAGUGGUCGUUCUAAAAGGUCACGAUCAAGUGGCUUUGAUGAUGUAUGCGCAACUUUCACUACCUAUGUACAGGCAAAAACGGAACAUUCCCGUGCCUGGUCAACAGACACAGAGGCUGUAAGUGCAUGUGGCGAUGACUAUUCUCUUGAUGCAUGUCAAGAUGCCCUGUUAGAGCUUGGGAACAUACCACUGGUCCAGUACAUUAGGGCUCUGACACUAUUAAAAGACAAGGAAUGGCGGAGGUUUUUUAUACGUACUCCUGCCCAUAUGCGCCUAGUUAUGAUUCUAGCUUGGCAGUGAAGAGAGAAGUUGUGGCUUGAUCAAGCUUGCGGUUCUCGUUGUGGCUGUCCAACAUGCUUUGAUGAUGUCUAUGUUGUUCUUCUUUUUUUUUUUUCACCUGAUGACAUGCUCUUUUUUUCUGUCGUUCUCUGUUUAUUUCUAUAAUUUUUAAUUAAUUGUUUCUGUUUUACAUAAUAA